AACAUUGUUCGUUUUGGCCAGUUUUAAGGUUUUUUAGCAUGUGUAAUGGAAUGAAUGUGUUGAAUUAGUAAUCCCUUGUGUAAAGCCGUUGUUUUAGUGUUCUUUUGAUGAGUUUGGCUUGUUGUUAUGCAAAGUGUUUGUUUUGGCGAGUUUGAACGUUUUUGAGCAUGUGUAAUGGCAUGAAUGCGUUAAGCUGUUGUUUUAGUGUUCUUUUGAUGAGUUUGGCUUGUUGUUAUGAACAUUGUUCGUUUUGGCCAGUUUGAAGGUUUCUUAGCAUGUGUAAUGGCAUGAAUGCGUUAAGCUGUUGUUUUAGUGUUCUUUUGAUGAGUUUGGCUUGUUGUUAUGAACAUUGUUCGUUUUGGCCAGUUUGAAGGUUUUUGAGCAUGUGUAAUGGCAUGAAUGCGUUAAGCUGUUGUUUUAGUGUUCUUUUGAUGAGUUUGGCUUGUUGUUAUGAAAAGUGUUUGUUUUGGCCAGUUUGAACGUUUUUGAGCAUGUGUAAUGGCAUGAAUGCGUUAAGCUGUUGUUUUAGUGUUCUUUUGAUGAGUUUGGCUUGUUUUUAUGAACAUUGUUCGUUUUAGCGAGAUUUAAGGUAUUUGAGCAUGUGUAUCAGCAUGAAUGUGUUAAGCUGUUGUUUUAGUGUUCUUUUGAUGAGUUUGGCUUGUUGUUAUGAACAUUGUUCGUUUUUGCAAGUUUGAAGGCUUUUGAGCAUGUGUGGUGACAUGAAUGUGUUGAAUUAGUAAUCCCUUGUGUGAAGCUUUUGUUUUAGUGUUCUUUUGAUGAGUUUGGCGUGUUGUUAUGAACAGUGUUUGUUUUGGCGAGUUUGAAGGUUUUUGAGUAUGUGUUAUGGCAUGAAUGUGUUGAAUUAGUAAUCCCUUGUGUGAAGCUGUUGUUUUAGUGUUCCUUUGAUGAGUUUGGCUUGUUGUUAUGAACAUUGUUUGUUUUGGGGAGUUUGAAGGCUUUUGAGCAUGUGUAAUGGCAUGAAUGUGUUGAAUUAGUAAUCCC